CGGACCCCGCGCAAGCGGGAGCUUCAUGCACCGGGCUGCCCUUUUUUCAGAUUUAGUGUUUUUGUGGAGAACCAAAAGUAGCCUUUCCCACUGCCAUAAUUUACCCUUUUUAAAAUAAAACGCUAUUACCAUCACUAAUUCAUGAAGGAUUUUGUGCAAGUGAAGUGGCAGGGCAGGUAACUACCUCCUGAUUAAUCAUUUGUGAUCUGAAUUGUUGAUUGAUCUAUAUUAUUCUUUGAAAUAUGUCAAACUUCAACUUAAUUCCUGAUAUCUCCAGAACCUUGCAGGGUGCUACAUCAGAACCUUGCAACUGAUAUCUUUUCAUACAUCUCUACGUCCACAAAUUGUUUGCUAUGAAUUAUGUUAAUCUGGGUGGUUCUCUUCCAACUUGAUCUGAGAAAGGGAAAUAAACAUUGAAAACUAUUAUCUUGCUUUGUGCCGAAGUACAAGAUCAGGUACUUUCUCAAAUUUUUAUUGUCCUUGUAUGUCUUAGUUUUCAUCUCACAGCAACAUGUUUGUUGAAUGUGCGGCCAUAUGCGGUACAUUAUUAUUGCUUCUCUCAUCCUAGAGAUUGAAGGACAAUCUUCGCAGCUAAAAUCACAAUGGGGGAAGUCGGUAAUACAUGUGCUCACCUGCAUUAAAUCCUAACAUGCAAAUUUAAGAAGGACCGCUGGAAUGCAAGUGAUACAAAACCAAUUCCUAAAAUUUCUUCACAAGAUUUACUCUUCAGUAAUCAUGUAUGACAAGCGGGUCAUUUGCGAGAGCACAAAACAGUACAAGCUUUUCUUAUUAGGCAACGAUGUAUUCUGCAUUGAGUAUCUUCAGCCUUUACACAGUUCAUACACUAAGCUAUACAGUUUUAUCAUUGCCAGUUUUUAUGGUGGUGAAGUGAAUCCAUAUCGUUAGAAUUGUCUUCAGCAGGUAUACACUUUUCCAGAUUGUUUCUACCACAGCCAGGGAAUGUAGGACAUCUCUCAUGAACAAAACAGUACCACUCCCUUCACACAAAUUUAUUACUCCCUCAUGAAACAGGACAUCUCUCUUCUUAACGGGCUAUUUUGUUUUUCCCGUGAUGGUAGCAGUGAGUCAGUCCUCAACUCCAGUGACUCCUACCUGUCCCAACAAUUAGGCUGGGUCUCGAAGAUAAAUCUGAUAUGGGGUCAAUGUAUCUCUUCCUAGGAUUGAUGUAUUACGAUUGGGUUGAUGAUUUUUUUUCUAAGAUUUGUCUGUAUGAUUUUUCACAAAUUGGGUUGGAUAUUUCUAUCGAGCUAGGUUUCACACAUUAUGUGUGCGUGGUAAGUUAUUUUGCAAUAUUCGUUCAAAGUGUCGUUGGUUCAGUAAUUUCGACUCACCAAGCAAGUGUUUAGUCCUCCUUUCUACCAGGAUUCUAUAUAGUGUGUCAGUUUAUUUUGGUUCUGGCUGAUGUCAGCAUGUGGUGUAUAAACCUCCGCAUGAAAAAUGAACAACAUCUGCUAGGAAAUAAGAACGAAUAUGAGAUUCAGUGCCUUGGUUGGAAUUAGGAGUGUUGUACUAAUGUGUCGGUCUUUGUUCCAAUGUUAGUUUGGCAGAAAAGUUACUGUGCUGGCCAUGAGUAAUUUGAAGUUACUGUGAUGGCCAUCAGCAAUUUGAAGUCCUCAUUGUCCGUGUCUGCCUCCAUUUCGUGCUUCAUGUACACUACAUCAGAGUUUCAUAUUCGACCUGAAAGUUGAUAAAGCUAGGUGCCAUGUGAAGAAUAUAAUUCCAAGUUUGAUCUUAAUUGACUGAGCGAGGAUGGUUGAUCGUAUGUUGCUUCGACCAAGAUGGUGAGGUGUUUGGCUAGAUCGACGAGCUGAUGUGGCUGUAUGACAGCCAAGGAAACAUGAAGCUGGCUGGCCGCGCAUACUUGUGCUCUGCCCGCGCCCUGAACCAUGCUGAUCAAUCGGUCGAUCGGUCGGAUGUACAGUCCAAGAGCUAGGAAGAGCUUGCAGUACCCGGUUUGGAUUUUUUUACUACCAGUUUUGUUUUCAAGGAAGUCUUUAUAAGCUAUCACUGAAGCUACUCUUGUGUAGUUCUAUGUAGGAAUGGAUAAUCUAGCUGAUGUGUGGCCUGUUUGCAUCUCAUGUGCAAGGGUUGGAUUGAGGAUUUACUAAAUUAUUUGCUUGGAGUUGGUAUGCUUAACUGAAAGACAUAUAUCUUCCUGUUUUGGUGUAGUUUGCUGCCAAAUGCCUACCAGUACCUAUAUGGUUGUACCUAAUGUGCAGAAAAUAUAUAUUAUAUCAGUUACUGAA